AAAAUCCUCCUUGGUGCAGUGAUGAUCAGCAUUUCUUUUGUGUGUCAUGGUUAGCCUGCAGUGUUGAAGUUUUGCAUUAUUCAAACAGUGGCAGUCUGUAUGAGCCAGACAUACUUUCUAACAUACCACUCUGCUAGCAACAAUAUUGGUGAAAGUGCCAGUAAUAUAUUACAUGUGGAACAGCAUUGUUUAAUAUUACUGUAAUUUCAUUAACUUGAAUUUGUUACAGUUAAUUAGUUUAGCUAUGUAGCACAGUGUAUCAGAAGGCGAAUUUUNUUUUUUUUUUUCCAAAGGAUGGCUACUGGUAUGUGUGCCUGCACACAACAUUUGGAAACAGCCUCUCUGGGAGCAACUUGUAGAAACAAGACUCUUAUGGAAGCUCCCUGAGGUAGCUCCUAGGCACUGUGGUAAUAGCAAAAACAGAAAUAAUAGGAGCGGAUGGAAAACUGCAGCAAUGGGUUCUCUGACAACCAUACACUUUUCACUGAAGUUAUAUAUUUGGAUUCCUUAUUGAUGGAACCAACUCCAGUGAUGCCCUGUUCAGCAUGGAAUAUCAGAUCUGCAGUCAGAACCAGCAGAGCUAAAGAAACUUCUUGCCCAUGUGCAUUGUCCUUGAAAACAGCUAACUCCCACUGAACUGGAGUUACUGGAGGAAAGCAAAAAAUGAACAAGACAAGACUGUGUUCUGCACUGCUAAAUAAAGUAACUGAAUUUAGAUAGAAUGGUUCAUUGUCCACCAGUUUUCAGCAGGAGACUAACUUGCCAACCCAUCUGAAAACUUUGUUGGGAAAUGCCAGGCAGGAAUACUGCUUAUUUUGAGCAGUCGUGGAGAGAAUUUCUUGGCUGACUGUCAAGCACCUAUGGCAACUGGCUGAGCCUGCACUUGCACCUGUGCAAGGAAUCUCAUCCAUUAUACUGAAAGUCCUGCAAUGAAUUUCUUUUAGAUGAGAGCAAGAAUAAACUGCUAUGCAGUGCACGUUUUAAUUUUUGCAGGGGAUGUCUUGUGGUUUGCAGUGCUUUCUGGAAACCAGAGAACAAGCUAGACCCUUUAAAAGUAUAUUAUGAUUGAGCAUAUGUAGCAGCUAAGGUCAGUUUCUGUUGACACAGGUAAGAAAUGAUGGGAAUAUGUAUCGGUAGACUGAGGAGGUCUUAUUUGGAAUUGGAAAAGUAGUGGCACUAAUUGCAGAUGCAUGAGCUGUGUGGAUUUUCUUUAACCCCUGAUAAAACUCCUGCAGGAAGAGUUACUAUGGCAACAAAGUCCAAAUCAGGCUAGCAUGAACUAAAGGCUGAGAUAAUGCAAUCCCAUUUUAGCACUCCAAAAGAGAGAAAAUCACUGAUGAUCACACUAAAGAUGAAAAUAAUGCUUUCCCAAACUAUGUAAUAUAGGUCAAUAACUGCAAGUAAAGAAUGGGUAAUCGUCUCCUCUGUAAUAAUUACAAAUAAAUAAUUUAGUGAGAUGUAAAAUAUCAAAAUCUUAAAGUGAGAAUGUUGUUUGUCNUUUCAGAUAAAAAUUCAUCACUUUUCUCAAGAUUAUGCUUUCAUCAAACACAACUCAUUAGACACAACAGAUAGUUAAAAGCAUGAAAUGUA
rnacentral:lncRNA from 1 species